UACGAAGGGGGCUAGCGUUGUUCGGAAUUACUGGGCGUAAAGCGCGCGUAGGCGGCCAUGCAAGUCAGGGGUGAAAUCCCGGGGCUCAACCCCGGAACUGCCUUUGAAACUACAUGGCUGGAGUCCGUGAGAGGGUGGUGGAAGUCCUAGUGUAGAGGUGAAAUUCGUAGAUAUUAGGAGGAACACCAGUGGCGAAGGCGGCCACCUGGCACGGUACUGACGCUGAGGCGCGAAAGCGUGGGUAGCAAACAGG
rnacentral:rRNA from 1 species